UCUGAUUAAUUUGGCAGCAUACCGUAGUUUCAGGUUCAAUUAAUCGCUGGCAACGUUCACUACUUCAUCACAUGAUAUUUUCCGGCUUAGAGAAAAAAAAAACAAAUAUAACCCGAUAUUGAUUUAUUUUGUUUAUUUAUCCGCAAAUCGUUAUAUAAUCCCUGGUUAAAAAUGGUUUAAACGCCACAAGAAACUCAUGCAACUAAAAUAUUAACAAAAUUACGGAAAAAAAAAAUGAAACAUCCACGGGAUUAGUUUUGAAAUUCACGUCGACGUUAACAAAAUUCGUCGUUCGGCAUAAGUUAACCCAGUUAAUAAAUGGUUCCGUUUGGAUUUU
rnacentral:lncRNA from 1 species